rnacentral:rRNA from 1 species
GACGAACGCUGGCGGCGUGCCUAAUACAUGCAAGUUGAGCGAUGAAGAUUGGUGCUUGCACCAAUUUGAAGAGCAGCGAACGGGUGAGUAACUCGUGGGGAAUCUGCCUUUGAGCGGGGGACAACAUUUUGAAACGAAUGCUAAUACCGCAUAAUAACUUUAAACAUAAGUUUUAAGUUUGAAAGAUGCAAUUGCAUCACUCAAAGAUGAUCCCGCGUUGUAUUAGCUAGUUGGUGAGGUAAAGGCUCACCAAGGCGAUGAUACAUAGCCGACCUGAGAGGGUGAUCCGCCAAAUUGGGACUGAGACACCGCCCAAACUCCUACGGGAAGCAACAGUAGGGGAUCUUCGGCAAUGGACGGAAGUCUGACCGAGCAACGCCGCGUGAGUGAAGAAAGUUUUCGGAUCGUAAAACUCUGUUGGUAGAGAAGAACGUUGGUGAGAGUGGAAAGCUCAUCAAGUGACGGUAACUACCCAGAAAGGGACGGCUAACUACGUG